AAUCAUUUAGUAUUUGACAUUGCAGUAAAUUUUCAUUCAACUUCAGUUAUCUUGCAUUUGAAAACAUCAUAUGUGAAGCUUUCAUCCCUGUUUUGUCGCUGGACUUGUUCAGUUAGCGCACACGUACUUGCGUUGAUGGUUGUGGUUAAGUUGGAUGGACAGUAUAUAUCCAGACUUGUAUCCUCAAGAAGACUCUGGAGAACAUCUUUAACCUGGCAGUGGUGCCGUGUUUAUCCGAUGGUGUCAGAUUUCGUUUGGGCUAUGAGUCUGAUUUUUAUUAAAAAAAAUUUUUUGCUAUUUUUUAGUCUACAUCUGAUUGAAAUAAAUUUUUUAUUUUUGACAAAUCUCAACUCAAUAAUGUAAAAAAAUAAUUUUUCUAUGUUGCUGUUUUUUAAUAAAUUAUGUAAUCCAAUAUCUCUCUAUCAAAAUUAUAUAAACAGC
rnacentral:lncRNA from 1 species